CCGGCGACCGGCGCACGGGUGAGUAACACGUAUGCAACCUGCCCUCCGCAGGGGGAUAACCCGGAGAAAUCCGGACUAAUACCGCGUGGUACAUCUGUGGGGCAUCCCACGGGUGUUAAAAGGAAGCGAUUCCGGCGGAGGAUGGGCAUGCGGCGCAUUAGCUUGUUGGCGGGGUAACGGCCCACCAAGGCGACGAUGCGUAGGGGUUCUGAGAGGAAGGUCCCCCACACUGGUACUGAGACACGGACCAGACUCCUACGGAAGGCAGCAG
rnacentral:rRNA from 1 species